rnacentral:lncRNA from 1 species
CCAUUUGUCCCAGACAUAUUCCAUUUUCGUAAUAUUGGUUAUGGUACUUUGAAAUAAUAUAUGUAAAUAACAAUCAUUUCUCUUUACAAAAGCUAAUAUGAAUAUAGUAAAAUAUGAAAAUAAAAUAUAGUACUCUUUUUUCUACUAAUACAGCGUUUUUUUAGUAAAUGUUUGUGAUCGUGACCGCGCGCAAUGCGGUCUGUAUAAUCUAAUUAUAAUAAUCAUAUGCGAAAUUAGAGUCAGUGUUUGUUCGCCGAUUAUUACAUAAACGAGCAUGUAGUUUUUUAUUUUUCGUUUUUUGUAUAUACAUUUUUUAAAUUUACAUUUUCGGCAUUAGAGUCAGUGCUUAACAGGAUACAGCCUCUCCACAACCUUAACAAUGUUUUCCACUACCUCGGCUUCUCCCUGUUCUCUGGAUCUGAUGGUGCUUUAAAAGCGAAGAAUGAAGUCCGAUAACUCUUCCUCGAUGACCUCUGUUAUGACCGCUUCUGGGCUAUUGCAGCAUCGAUGACGAUGACGAAUUUCUC